CUGAGGGUGAAAGUAUCAAUUGCAGCUAUUAAGUGGUUGACAUCAAAAUCUUGUGCAUUUAGAGGCCAUGAUGAAACACCAGAGUCAAAGAACAGAGGGAACUUUAUUGAACUAUUAAAGCUCCUUGCAGAAUUCAAUCCUGAGAUUGCUGAAGUUAUUUUGGAGAAUACUCCAUACUGUUCAAAGUACACAUCACAUGAAAUCCAACAAGAGAUAUUGUUUUUCCGCAAAAGAAAAGUUAGGAAACAUAUCCGUGAAGAGAUUGGGAAUUCUAAGUUUUCUAUUCUAGUGGACGAGACAUGUGAUGUAGCAAAAAGAGAGCAGAUGGCAUUGGUUCUCAGAUUCGUUGAUGAAGAUCGUAUAUUGCAAGAGCGGUUCUUUGCCUUGAUACAUGUGACGAACACCAAAGCCGCAACACUUAAAGAGGUAUUGAGUUCUUUGUUAUGCAAACAUGCUUUUGAUGUUCAGAACCUUUGUGGACAGGGGUACGAUGGGGCUAGUAAUAUGAGGGGGGGGGGGGUUCAAUGGUUUGCAAGCUCUUUUUCUUAG
rnacentral:rRNA from 1 species